UACAGGGGGUGCAAACGUUGCUCGGAAUUACUGGGCGUAAAGCGUGCGUAGGUGGUGAGUUAAGUCUGUCGUGAAAGCCCCGGGCUCAACCUGGGAAUGGCGAUGGAUACUGGCUCGCUAGAGUGCGGUAGAGGAGAGUGGAAUUCCCGGUGUAGCAGUGAAAUGCGUAGAGAUCGGGAGGAACAUCAGUUGCGAAGGCGGCUCUCUGGACCAGCACUGACACUGAGGCACGAAAGCGUGGGGAGCAAACAGG
rnacentral:rRNA from 1 species